rnacentral:rRNA from 1 species
AAUGUGUGGUUCCAUGCGCAGCUACCAUGCAGUCGAACGAUGAACCGAUUUCGGCCGGGGAUUAGUGGCGAACGGGUGAGUAACACGUGGGCGAUCUGCCCUGCACUCUGGGAUAAGCCCGGGAAACUGGGUCUAAUACCGGAUACAACACUCCUAGGCAUCUCGGGGUGUGGAAAGUUCCGGCGGUGCAGGAUGAGCCCGCGGCCUAUCACCUUGUUGGUGGGGUAAUGGCCUACCAAGGCGACCACCGGUAGCCGGCCUGAGAGGGUGACCGGCCACACUGGGACUGAGACACGGCCCAAACUCCUACGGGAGGCAGCAGUGGGGAAUAUUGCACAAUGGGCGAAAGCCUGAUGCAGCGACUCCCCGAGAGGGAUGACGGCCUUCGGGUUGUAAACCUCUUUCAGCAGGGAAGAAGCGAAAGUGACGGUACCUGCGAGAAGAAGCACCGGCUAACUACGAUGCCAGCAGCCCGCGGAUAAUACGGUACGGUGCGAAGCGUUUGUCCGGGAAUUAUUGGGGCGUAAAGGAGCCUCGUAGGCGGGUUUGUCGCGUUCGAUGGUUGAAAGCCCCGGGGG